CCUACGGGUGGCUGCAGUGAGGAAUAUUGGUCAAUGGACGAGAGUCUGAACCAGCCAAGCAGCGUGAAGGAAGACGGCCCUAUGGGUUGUAAACUUCUUUUGUAAAGGAAUAAAACGAGGCACGUGUCCCUUUCUGCAUGUACUUUAUGAAUAAGGAUCGGCUAACUCCGUGCCAGCAGCCGCGGUAAUACGGAGGGUGCGAGCGUUAUCCGGAUUUAUUGGGUUUAAAGGGUGCGUAGAUGGGUUGUUAAGUCAGUAGUGAAAGUUUGGGGCUCAACCCUGAGAUUGCCAUUGAUACUGGCAGGCUUGAGUACAGUUGAGGUAGGCGGAAUUCGUGGUGUAGCGGUGAAAUGCAUAGAUAUCACGAAGAACCCCGAUUGCGAAGGCAGCGUACUAGACAGUGACUGACGUUGAGGCUCGAAAGCGUGGGGAUCAAACAGGAUUAGAUACCCGAGUAGUC
rnacentral:rRNA from 1 species